rnacentral:lncRNA from 1 species
CAUCACCUGUGACAUCAAAGGAAUGCAUGUUACCCAGUGCCUUUGAGACUCAGACUGUGAUCCAUGCUGAAUCUGAGUACACGAGGACUGUGCUGUCACUUGCUUCAGAAAGGCCUCAGCCUGACCUGGCCAUCUAGUGAAACCAAAUGGGCUGCAACAGAUUUGUGACCAUUUAUUCAAGAACAGUUUUCUGCAUCUUUGCACUGGAAUCCGUUCUCACCUGCUCCCCCAAGAGCUUCCCAGCUGAGCAGAGCCUGCACGGUGGGACCGGAGCAUCGCACACCCAUGGGCCAGGCAGUGACAGCACUGAACUGCUCCUGGCCUACUUAAGUUGUAAAACAAUUUAGUUUUCUUCAGCAUGUUCAGAGAGAAAAAUGUCACUGUUGCUUUUCCCUGCAGAUGUGUCCGUGCACCUCUAACGGCUACAUCUGCCUCUGUCAACCUAUGGAAUUGAGGAUGCUUUUCACCAUAAUCAAGCUGUGUAUAAUCAUAAUUAUAAUCAUAAUAGAAUGAUGAUGAGAACAAUAAUAAAUAUCAAGGAGCUGC